AUGGGAAGUUAACUGGCUUAGACCAAACUUUUUAGAGCAAGAAUCCUCAGACUUUUUGUUGUUUCCUCAUACCAGGUCAUUGCCUCAAGCUGCGCGGAUAGAAGGGGCACAUUUGUGUCUUUGACUCCCUUUUCACCCACCACACAGGAGGUGAAGGUUGGAUCAGAGCUCUGAUUGGUCUGCCAUACAUUCAGACACUUCAGGUAAAGAGAGAAAAAUUGCCUACUGUAGUGCCACUUCAGUAACUUGACCGGGUCCGGCCUUCGCUCUGCGUGCAUUGAAUGAGUUUGGCAGCAGCUGGGCUCCCAUUGAUGAUGAGUUGGAGAGAGGACGGUAGAGAAAGACGCCCCUGAUUCUGCAUGAGGAGAGCACAUUUGAAAAGCUUUUAUGACCUGGUUACUGCGUCACAUCAACUGCUAGAAGAACGUACACAAAAAAUAAGGCUGAACCCGGCUGAUCUGUUCAAUCACCCAGGAGCGCUGAGGCAGGACCCUGUAAAAGGAGUUCGGACUGAAAGAUCACACGUUUGGAAAAAUCUGACUUGCAGCCAGGAGACGGAGUUGACUCAUCAUGAUCAGAUUAAGUGAAAAUACUCAAAGCUGAGGCCGAUGUCGGGGCGGAGCAAAGACCUAACAGAGGUACUGGAUGCCUGCACGUCUCGUGGACCCUCACUGCUGGAGCUGUUGCAUAACAUGAAAGUCUUUAAGAACUGCAUUCUGCAGACUGCUACAGAGCAACAAGACUUUAACACACAAUUCAGGGUAAAGAAGGCCAAAGAUGGCUUAGUGGUUCCUGGCUUUGUAACUACAUUGCUUGCCUGAGUGAAAGAAAGGCUACCCAAAAGAGAAAAAGACGGAGAAGGAUAAAACAGCACUAGCUUACCUCUAGGUUCCUCCCAAAAUUGCUAUGGGUUGCCAAAAUUAGAUGUUCCCAUACAUCUAAACUGCAUUCUCAAUUGCAUUUUGAGGGAAAAGAAUAUUCUCCGCCGGAUUAUGUUUGUUUCAACACGUCCUUGUACCAGCGACAGGCGCACAGUGUGAAACGUUCAUAGUUUUAAACACGUGCUUAGCAUUGUGAAUUGAAACAAAAUAACUUAGGUUAGGUUAAGGAAAAGAUCAUGGUUACUCAAAAGUAACUGUAAGGCGUGGUUUCUAUUACUUGAAAUUGUAUUGACAGCUAUUGCUUUUCAUCACUAUUAUUGUCCUUAACCUUUGACGUCCAACAUGUAUAACUUUAUCAGAUGGAUUAACAGUUUUUACAUUUUACCUCAGUCUGAAGUUAACCUGACUCCGCCAGAUGGAUUGCUUCAC